AUAAGUCUUGAUGUGAAAGCCCUCGGCUUAACCGAGGAACUGCAUCGGAAACUGUUUUUCUUGAGUGCAGAAGAGGAGAGUGGAACUCCAUGUGUAGCGGUGGAAUGCGUAGAUAUAUGGAAGAACACCAGUGGCGAAGGCGGCUCUCUGGUCUGCAACUGACGCUGAGGCUCGAAAGCAUGGGUANNGAACAGGAUUAGAUACCCUGGUAGUCCAUGCCGUAAACGAUGAGUGCUAAGUGUUGGGAGGUUUCCGCCUCUCAGUGCUGCAGCUAACGCAUUAAGCACUCCGCCUGGGGAGUACGACCGCAAGGUUGAAACUCAAAGGAAUUGACGGGGGCCCGCACAAGCGGUGGAGCAUGUGGUUUAAUUCGAAGCAACGCGAAGAACCUUACCAGGUCUUGACAUCUAGUGCCAUCCUAAGAGAUUAGGAGUUCCCUUCGGGGACGCUAAGACAGGUGGUGCAUGGCUGUCGUCAGCUCGUGUCGUG
rnacentral:rRNA from 1 species